rnacentral:tmRNA from 1 species
GGGGCUGAUUUUGGAUUCGACGUAAUUUUCGAAACUUUAGGAGCAUGCCGAGGGACGGUUGGCCUCGUAAAAAAACCGUAAAAUAUAGUUGCAAACGAUAAAAAUUACGCACUAGCAGCUUAAUAAUCUGUUUAGAGCCCUCUUUCUUAAUUUUUUCUCUUGAAAUAAAAGAAUAUAAGAGGUUCAUUUAAAAAGAGAUCGCAUUAAUAUUUUGCUUAAGAAUAGAAUGUUAAAUUUUAUUAAGCUACUAUAUAAUGAGUAUGUCCAUAUACAAUUUAUAUAAAAUAUAAAAUUGGACUAAGCAUGUAGUUUCCGAUAGUGUAGUAAUUUCGGACGGGGGUUCAAAUCCCCCCAGCUCCA